rnacentral:rRNA from 1 species
GACGAACGCUGGCGGCGUGCUUAACACAUGCAAGUCGAACGGAAAGGCCCUGCUUUUGUGGGGUGCUCGAGUGGCGAACGGGUGAGUAACACGUGAGUAACCUGCCCUUGACUUUGGGAUAACUUCAGGAAACUGGGGCUAAUACCGGAUAGGAGCUCCUGCUGCAUGGUGGGGGUUGGAAAGUUUCGGCGGUUGGGGAUGGACUCGCGGCUUAUCAGCUUGUUGGUGGGGUAGUGGCUUACCAAGGGUUUGACGGGUAGCCGGCCUGAGAGGGUGACCGGCGACAUUGGGACUGAGAUACGGACCAGACUCCUACGGGAGGCAGCAGUGGGGAAUAUUGCACAAUGGGCGGAAGCCUGAUGCAGCAACGCCGCGUGCGGGAUGACGGCCUUCGGGUUGUAAACCGCUUUCGCCUGUGACGAAGCGUGAGUGACGGUAAUGGGUAAAGAAGCACCGGCUAACUACGUG